rnacentral:rRNA from 1 species
AACAAAAUAAAACUUUCAACAACGGAUCUCUUGGCUCUCGCAUCGAUGAAGAACGCAGCGAAUUGCGAUAAGUAAUGUGAAUUGCAGAAUUCAGUGAAUCAUCGAAUCUUUGAACGCAGCUUGCGCUCUCUGGUAUUCCGGAGAGCAUGCCUGUUUCAGUGUCAUGAA